GGGGAAUAUUGCGCAAUGGGCGAAAGCCUGACGCAGCAACGCCGCGUGAGUGAUGAAGGCCUUCGGGUUGUAAAGCUCUUUCGGCCGGGAAGAAGGGGUAUAGAUUUAAUACAUCUAUAUUUUGAUGGUACCGGAAGAAGAAGCACCGGCUAACUUCGUGCCAGCAGCCGCGGUAAUACGAAGGGUGCGAGCGUUGUUCGGAAUUAUUGGGCGUAAAGGGUUCGUAGGCUGGAAAUUAAGUCAAUUGUGAAAUCCCCGAGCUUAACUUGGGACGUGCAUUUGAAACUGGUUUUCUUGAGUAUCGGAGAGGGUGGUGGAAUUGCUGGUGUAGGAGUGACAUCCGUAGAGAUCAGCAGGAACACCGGAGGCGAAAGCGACUGCCUGGCCGAGAACUGACGCUGAGGAACGAAAGCGUGGGGAGCAAAC
rnacentral:rRNA from 1 species